rnacentral:rRNA from 1 species
UACGUAGGGGGCAAGCGUUGUCCGGAAUUAUUGGGCGUAAAGGGCGCGUAGGCGGCAUGGCAAGUGGAUGGUGAAAUCCCUCGGCUUAACCGAGGAACUGCCGUCCAAACUGCUUCGCUUGAGACCGGGAGAGGUGAGUGGAAUUCCCAGUGUAGCGGUGAAAUGCGUAGAUAUUGGGAGGAACACCAGUGGCGAAGGCGGCUCACUGGACCGGUACUGACGCUGAUGCGCGAAAGCGUGGGGAGCAAACGGG